rnacentral:sRNA from 1 species
GCGACGCCGUCGCGCCACGGCCCGCGGAACCUGCCGAGCGACCGGGGCGCGGCGCGGGGAGGCUGGCGGGACGCUCGGGUAGGCGAGCGUUUGCCUCAGCAUGGAGGGCGGGGCCGCGGCAUCCACCCCCGCAGCGCUGCCUUACUACGUGGCCUUCUCCCAGCUGCUGGGCCUGACCUUGGUGGCCAUGACUGGCGCGUGGCUCGGGCUGUACCGAGGCGGCAUUGCCUGGGAGAGCGACCUGCAGUUCAACGCGCACCCCCUCUGCAUGGUCAUAGGCCUGAUCUUCCUGCAGGGAGAUGGUGAGUCCCAUGGGCCGCUCCUCUCUGCCCGGGCUUGUGGGGGUCCCUGAGAGGCAGUUUGCAGGGGUCUUGUCACCCCUGCGGUCUCUUCUGGUUGGACAAAUCUAAGAUUCUAGAAAAGACAGAGACAGAAGCUGGUUCAGAGCCUGGAGAGAUGGAAUCCAAACCCAGGCUCUGAGGUUGGUGGGUGGCAGCUCCUCUCCAGCCUGGUCCAGCAUUUUCACCUCGUUUCCACACACAGCAUCCAAGGCGGGCACUU